rnacentral:lncRNA from 1 species
GUUCUUAAGUUUAAAACAAAAAAAAAAAAAAAAGAAAAAGAAAUGCAAAGCUUUAUUUUAUGAGUCAGAGGACUUGAUACUAAGUCUUAAGAUUGUAAUACUGCCCCUGCCAAGUUAAUCUGCAAAUUCAACAAAUUCAAAAAAACAAAAACCUCCACUCCCAGAUACCUUUUUGCAAAAAUUGACAAGUUGAUCUUAAAAUUUAUGUGGACCCAGAGUAGCCAAAAUAAUCUUGAUAAAUAACAUAUUUGGAGUACUCACUCGGAUAUCAAAACUUAGGGCAAAACUACAAUUAUAAGACAGGCAUAAAGAUAAGCGAAAUAAAAGUCCAGAAAUAAACCCUUGUGUUUUGUAGUCAGUUGAUGUUUGGCAAAAGUUCCAAGACAAUUCAAAUGGGAAAGAAUAGUCUCUUCAACAAAUGGUUUUGGGACAAGUAAAUAUUGACCCCUCCUUUAUGCGAUAUACAAAAGUUAAACUCGAAAUGUAACAAACACCUAAAUAUAAGAAUUAAAACUAUAAAACUCUAAGAGGAAUAUCUAAGGGUAAAUCUUCACGACUUUGGGUUACACAAAGCCUUGUUGAUGUGACAAGUCACAAAAGAAAAAUAGAUGAACACCAAAUAUAAAAACACUUGCUGCAAUUGAUACCAACAGAUUAGAAUAACAACUCAGAAUUGGAAAAAUAUUUGCAAAUCAUAUAUCUGAUAAAAUGUAUCCGGAAUGUGUAGAGAAUUCUUUCAACCCAAUAAAAAGAAUAUAAAUACCCAAUUUAAAAAAUGAGUAAAGGGGCCGGGCGCGGUGGCUCAUGCCUGUAAUUCCAGCACUUUGGGAGGCCAAGGCGGGCAGAUCACGAGGUCAGGAGAUCGAGACCAUCCUGGCUAACACGGUGAAACCCCGUCUCUACUAAAAAUAAAAAAAAAAAUUAGCCGGGUAUGGUGGCAUGCGCCUGUAGUCCCAGCUACUCAGGAGACUGCGGCAGGAGAAUGGCAUGAACCCAGGAGGCAGAGCUUGCAGUGAGCCAAGAUCGCGCCACUGCACUCCAGCCUGGGUGACAGAGUGAGACUCUAUCUCAAAAAAAAAAAAAAAAAAUUAACCAGGCGUGGUGGUGGGCGCCUGUAGUCCCAGCUACUCGGGAGGCUGAGGCAGGAGAAUGGCAUGAACCCGGGAGGUGGAGCUUGCAGUGAGCCGAGAUCAUGCCACUGCACUGCAGCCUGGGCGACAGAGUGAGAGUCCGUCUCAAAAAAAAAAAAAAAAAAUGAGUAAAGGAUCUGUACGUCUUCCCAAAAGAAAUGGACAGUUGGGCAGUAAGUACAUGAAAAGAUGCUCAAAUCAUUAACUGUCAGGGAAAUGUAAAUCCAAACCACAAUGACAUCCCACUUUGCACCAGCCAGGAUGAUUAUAAUAAAAAAGGCAGACAACAUGGUGAAACCCCGUCUCUACUAAAAACACAAAAAUUAGCUGGGCGUGGUGGCAUGCGCCUGUAGUACCAGCUACUCAGGAGGCUGAGAUGGGAGAGUUGCAUGAACCCAGGAGGUGGAGGUUGCAGUGAGCCAAGAUCGCGCCACUGCACUCCAGCCUGGGUGACAGAGUGAGACUCUGUCUCAAAAAAAAAAAAAAAAAAAGGUGUAGUAUUUGCAUGUAACCUGCCACAUAUUCUCCUGUACACUUUAAAACCUCUCCAGAUUAUGUAUAAUACCUAACACAUUGUAAAUGCUAUAUAAAUAGUUGUUAUACUGUAUUGAUUAGACAAUAAUGACAACAAAAAAAGUCUACACCUAAUAGGUACAGACAAAGCCAGAUAUUUUUCCUUUUCUGGAAUAUUUUCCAUCUGCUGUUGGUUGAAUCCACAGAUGCAGAACCCAAGGAUAUGGAGGGCCAAAGAAGCAUUUACAGAGGAAGGACAGUGUAGAUUCAUGAAAACUAAGGAAGGAGAUUUGAAACAGGAAGACUUGAUUCACAGUUUUAAAGGCUGCAAAGGAGGUAAAUUGAAAAAAAGACUAAGAGGCCAUGUGAAGGUCAUCAAGCAUCAUCCAGAGAGAAAUUCCGCAGAGCAAUCAGUGCAAAAUCCAUGUUUUCAUUACCAAAAACCAAAAACUUUAUCACAGUAUGAUAUGAACUUACCUAUAUGAAGUCUUUCAGUGGCCCCAAAACAAAUCAUAUAUAUUUAAUGAAUAGCCAUUAUUGAAAAAAUAUAUACUAAAAAGUAACUACACUGGAAAACCCAUGAUGUAUUGUUACUAUUGUAAUUGGGAGAGAAGUCAGAUGUUAGAAUAUUUUAGGAAUGAAAUAGGUCAAAAGAAAGAAAAAUGUGAAGGAUAUGAAUAAACAGAGAAAUGUAGGAGGGACAAAAGGACACCCUCUUUAAACUGUCAAUGGCAGGCUAGAACUGUUUGUGCUUAUGAGGACUUGGAGUCCCUGCAGAGGUCAGGGUGGCUUCUAACAUUGUAUGCCCACCUAUAUUUCAUCAGGCUAACAAUAAUUUUGAUGGCUGAUCUGCUGAGAGAAGAUUUUUUUUAAGAGACAGGUCUUACUCUGUUGCCCAAGCUGGAGUGCAGUGGUGGUCAUAGCUCACCAUAACCUCAAACUCCUGGGCUUAAGUGAUCCUCCCACCUCAGCUUCCUGAGUAGCUAGGACUACAGGCAUGUACCACUGCACCCAGCACAAGAUGGUCUUGAUUACAGGCAUUUAUUUAGGGAUACAAUUUAAAAUGACUGACUUUUAUAACCCUAUCACUAUAUAUCACCAUAUUCUAAAUGUCUAGGGAAAAGUAGGGGGAAAGACUGGAUUAGGCCAGGCAUGAUUACCAGUAAUCUUAGCACUUUGGGAGGCCAAGGUGAGAGGAUUACUUGAGGCCGAGAGCUCAAGACCAACCUGGCCAACAAAGCAAGACUCUGUCUCUAUUUCAAUUAAAAAAUAGAAGAAGAAAAAAGACUUGGUUGGCAGUUUUGUUUGUUUUAUUGUUGUUGUUGUUGUUUUUGUUUGUUUUUUUGAGACAGAGUUUCGCUCUUGUUGUCCAGGCUGGAGUGCAAUGGUGCCAUCUCAGCUCAAUGUAACCUCCGCCUCCUGGGUUGAAGCAAUUCACCUGCCUCAGCCUCCCGAGUAGCUGUCAUUACAGGCAUGCGUCACCACACCCGGCUAAUUUUGUGUUUUUAAUAGAGAUGGGGUUUCUCCAUGUUGGUCAGUCUGGUCUCAAACUCCUGACCUCAGGUGAUCCUCCUGCCUCGGCCUCCCAAAGGGCUGGGAUUACAGGCAUGAGCCACCGUGCCCAGCCUUGGUUGGCAGUUUUUACCAUUAAUUAUACAAUUAUUUUUUCUGAUUAUGAAAGCAAUAAGGCAUACAAUGUCAAUCAUUAAGGAAAUAUGAAAUAUGUAAAAUAAGCAUGUUCUCUAGUCUCAUCUCCACAGAUAACUUCUUUCAAGAUUUGAUGCAUUUCUCCCAAAUUUUUAUUUUCUAGACAUACACUAACAUUUGUCUUUGUUAAAAUGGGGUCACUGAGUACAUUUUAUUUUGCAACUUGUUUUUUUCCCAUUUACCUGUACAGCCAGCACAUUUUCUUAUGUCAUCACAGUAGUGCCACCUCUCUAAUUAAUGCAAAGUGUUCUAUUGUGCAGAUGGUACAUAUGAAAAUAUUUUCUUUCUUUUUUUUUUUUUUUUUGAGACGGAGUCUCAUUCUGUUGCCCAGGCUGUAGUGCAGUGGUGCGAUUUUGGCUCACUGCAACCUCCACCUCCCGGGUUCGAGCAAUUAUCCUGCCUCAGCCUCCCCAGUAGCUGGGAGUACAAGCAUGUACCAUCACGCCCAGCUAAUUUUUCGUAUUUUUAGUAGGGACGGGGUUUCACCAUAUUUGCCAAGCUGGUCUUGAACUCCUGACCUCAAGUAACUCACUCACCUCAGCCUCCCAAAGUGCCAAGUGAAAUAUUUUAGUGGGAAAAUGUCCACAGAAUAAGGGGUGUGGGCUUGGUCAGUGGAGAGUGGUUGAAGAGGUGAGAGGGAACCAAGGCUCUUCCUGCUAUUUCUUUGCUAGGGCUGGCCCCUUUAGGGGCUUCCCUUCCCUUAGAGAUGACUGCCAGGGUCUUCCAUCCCUACUUUCUGCCCCUUCUCUGAGGGGCCUGAGCCCCCUCAGCCUCCCAGGUUCAUCCAAACAAACAACUUAUGGCCUUCAUAAAACUGUCUGAUUAAAUGUGUAUUAUUAUUUUUCCUUUUUUAUUAUACAGGAUAUAAAUGCUUAACUCUUUUCAUGUAUUUUUAAACCAACUGACAAAUAAUUUUGAGCUUGUCAUUAGCAUCCUUGGGCU